rnacentral:lncRNA from 1 species
GGCAAAAAAGUCUCAAAUACAACUAAGGAGCUUCAUAUUUAUAGCUCAAAUACAAUGAUAGCCGAAUGGAUAUUUAAGCACAUCCUAGACAAUUCGGUUUAGCUUUAAUGAGUUGAAAGUUAAAGGAAAAUUCCAGGUAACUUCCUUGUGCUUUGUAGACGUCAACAACCAGCUUCUAGAGGCCUUGGAAUCAGCUGAGAUUAAUGGAGGUGCCUUGGCAGCUGAUUGGAACUUGGUAGGUUCGGCCAAUACUUUGAUGAGCUAUUAAAAGAUUGCUUUGAUUAGCUGAAUAGUCUUGUAAGCUUUAAUGGUAGCUUGUGGCCUUGGAAAGUCACCAAUGUGAACAACCAAUAUUGAACAGCCCUUUAGGUGUGAAAGCUCAAAGCUGAAUGGUCUCAAGGUGUGAAAAGAACCUUCAGCUGAAUUAAAAAAAUGUGGAAGGUUUGGUGAUCCUUGCAAUGCAAGAUGGGCUGUUUAAGAGAUAUCAACCAGCAACCUUUAUCUUAAAUGCAAGUCUUCUUUAAAUGUUGCUCAUACACUCCUUCGAUUGGGCGGCACAUUAAGGGUUGUUGAGUUGACCAAAAAAAUAGCACAUGGAGAAGAGGAAACAGCAGUUGGUUUAAUGACAUUCAUUGUCCAUUGAGCUCCACGAAAGAGGACCAUGGGAAGGAGUAAUCAACACUCCUUUAAUGUUGUCCCAUGCUUGAAAAGGGAGAAGUCAACAGCACCAUUAAUGUCGUCCAUGCAUGCCUUCUUAAUUGCUUGCUUUUGCAAUGAACGAGAGUUUGCUUAGGAAAAGCAAUCAGCAGCACACACACCUUUAAAUGCCGUCCAUGCAUGAUACCUACACCAAAUAAAUUCAACAUAUUAAAUCACUUAGGAAAAAUUAAAUUCUGCAGCAGCAAAGACAUGUUUAAAUUCUCUUUAAAUUUAGCUGGACUAGGACAUAUUAAAUCGACAUCAAGACACAUUAAUUGGAUGUAAUGAGCUGAACACAUUUACGCUAUGUAGUAACUAAGACAUAUUAAAGACAUGCAUUAAAAUAGAACAUAUUUCACACACAUAGGUAAAAUGUCCAAAUUUUAACAAAUUAAAUACUUAACAAUUAUUUAAGCUGAACUAACUAAUUUAACUAACUCAUUAAUUUAUUCCAGCAGCUAAAUGAAUGCAUAAACUAAAAAUAAUAUUAAUAGCAUCGAGCUCAAUGAGCUAAGAUUGAGCUGAAUUGAGCUCAAGGAACUGAAACACGAGCUGAUUCAAGCUCAAUAAACUAGCAUCGAGUUGAACAGCUAAAAAAUGAUUGCAACGCCUGCUUGGAAAACUUGACCAAGAUUGUUCGCAGGGCCUGAUUGUAUAUUCCCCUCUUCUUGAAAGUGACUUGUCCUCAAGUCAAGUCGUUGGUUUACUCGAAAGCGUUCGCGCGACUUGUCUUGGUUGAAAGGGGCGAAUGGCAAAUGAGUGACCUGAAAUUUAUAGCCAUGCGUUAACAAAAAGCAAUGCAAACAAAUUUGUAGUCCACGCAUAAUAAAAAAAAAGUGCAACACAUGUGAAUGGAUAGAUGCAAAAUACCACAUUUGCAAUCAUGCCAAAAAAUAUCUUACUUGUGAAUGUCUAUUCAAACGAUAUAGACAAAAACAGAUAUGUUGUAAGGCAUUCAAAAAUCCCAAUUGGUUUCCACCAAUCAUAGCCUAGAUGCGAGUAAUGAGUCAAAAGAUGUACGUAGGCAUCAAAAAUAGUCAAACGAAAAGAAUUAGAAGAUUCAUGGUCUUCCUUAGUUGGGCAUUGUAAUGACUAUUUAAUCGCAUGUUUUCCAACAAAAUCAUGAUGAUCAAAAACAAGAAUCUUUUUAUCAACCACCAAAACAGAUAGAUCAUCAUCAACCAAAUAGAACAAUUAAGCACGCCACGAUCUAACUGUUUUACAAAAGCUAAAUCAUCAACACGAUUUUUAACACCAUCUGAGGAGAAUAGAAAUGUUUCAAGACAUUCAAGUGUCUUACCUUUAUGAGCAGGAAAAUAAAGAUCGUUUUUACCUCGCUCGAUCAGCACAAACCAUCGCUCUUUGGGGGUAUAGAGAAGUCAAAACUUCGUGGUUGAGUUAACCUUUUCGGAAUGACACGCAAACUUCAUGUACAACCACAGAAAUGACGUAUGGAACAAAUUUAAAUUGAAAUCAAAUUUGUCAAUCCUCGUUUCCUUAUUUAAAAACCAAGUAUCAAACAAAUAGAAAUUAUUCGCACAAACUUUAAGAUGCUGGUUUCUCCCGCAAAACGAAUCAAAACAUAUUCUGGGUAUAAAAACAUGAGUUUGAUUAGUUAUGCCAAAGUGUAGCAAAGGGUUCAGUAAACCGACCAUGUCAAACCAGAAGGAUUUUUGCAUACACAGGAACAAACAAUCAAAACUCCUUACCACCAUUGAAACAGAUUUGCACAAAUUCAAAUAUUUCACAAAAAAACUUUAAUAGACAUUGACAAGUAAGAAGUCAACAGCACCAUUAAUGUCGUCCAUGCAUCCCUUCUUAAUUGCUUGCUUUUGCAAUGACCGAGAGUUUGCUUAGGAAAAGCAAUCAGCAGCACACACACCUUUAAAUGCCAUCCAUGCAUGAUACCUGCACCAAAUAAAUUCAACAUAUUAAAUCACUUAGGAAAAAUUAAAUUCUGCAGCAGCAAAGACAUGUUUAAAUUCUCUUUAAAUUUGGCUGGACUAGGACAUAUUAAAUCGACAUCAUGACACAUUAAUUGGUUGUAAUGAGCUGAACACAUUUAUGCUAUGUAAUAACUAAGACAUAUUAAAGACAUGCAUUAAAAUUGAACAUAUUUAACACACAUAGUUAAAAUGUCCAAAUUUUAAAAAAUUAAAUACUUAACAAUUAUUUGAGCUGAACUAACUAAUUUAACUAACUCAUUAAUUUAUUCCAGCAGCUAAAUGAAUGCAUAAACUAAAAAUAAUAUUAAUAGCAUCGAGCUCAAUGAGCUAAGAUUGAGCUGAAUUGAGCUCAAGGAAUUGAAACACGAGCUGAUUCAAGCUCAAUAAACUAGGAUCGAAUUGAACAGCUAGAAAACGAUUGCAACGCUCGCUUGGAAAACUUGACCAAGAUCAUUCGCAGGGCCUGAUCAUAACAGUCCCCUCUUUUUCAAAGUGACUUGUCCUCAAGUCAAGUUGUUGGUUUACUCGAAAGCGUUCGCGCGGCUUGUCUUGGUUGAAAGGGGCGAAUGACAAAUGAGUGAUCUGAAAUUUAUAGCCAUGCGUUAACAAAAAGCAAUGCAAACAAACUUGUAGUCCAAGCAUAAUCAAAACAAAACAAGUGCAACGCAUGCGAAUGGACAGAUUCAAAAUACCACGUUUACAGUCAUGCCAACAAAAUAUCUUACUUGUCAAUGUCUAUUCAAACGAUAUAGAAAAAAACAGUUAUGUUGUAAGGCAUUCAAAAAUCCCAAUUGGUUUCCACCAAUCAUAGCCUAGAUCCGAGUAAUGAGUCAAAAGAUGUACGUAGGCAUCAGAAACAGGCAAACGAAAAGAAUUAGAAUAUUCAUGGUCUUCCUUAGUUGGGCAUUGUAAUGUCUAUUUAAUUGCAUGCUUUCCAACAAAAUCACGAUGAUCAAAAACAAGAAUCUUUUUAUCAACCACCAAAAUAGAUAGAUCAUCAUCAACCAAAUAGAAAAAUUAAGCACGUCAUGAUCUAAGUGUUUUACAAAAUCUAAAUCAUCAACACGAUUUUUAACUCCAUCCGAGGAGAAUAGAAACGUUUCAAGACUUUCAAGUGUCUUACAUUUAUGAGCAGGAAAAUAAAGAUCGUUUUUACCUCGCUCGAUCAGCACAAACCUUCGAUCCUUGGGGGUAUAGAGAAGUCAAAAUUUCGUGGUUGAGUUAACCUUUUCAGAAUGACACGCAAACUUCAUGUACAACCACAGAAAUGGCGUAUGGAACAAAUUUAAAUUGAAAUCAAAUUUUUCUAUCCUUGUUUCCUUAUUUACAAACCAAUAUCAAACAAAUAGAAAUUAUUCGCCCAAACUUUAAGAUGCUAGUUUUUCCCGCAAAACGAAUCAAAACAUAUUCUGGGUAUAAAAACAUGAGUUUGAUUACUUAUGCCAAAGUGUAGCAAAGGGUUCAAUAAAUCGAUCAUGUUAAACCGGAAGGAUUUUUGCAUACACAGGAACAAACAAUCAAAACUCUUUACCACCAUUGAAACAGAUUUGCACAAAUUCAAAGAUUUCACAAAAAAACUUUAAUGGGUACACGUUAAUAUCAUAGUAAAAAAAUUAUGCGUUUUUUGUGAAAACUCAUUAUCACGCAAGAUUAAAUUCAUGGUUUGUUGAUCAAACCAAACAACAUCAACAAAGUUUCCUUCACAAGGCCAAUCAAGAGUAAAACUCAUUGUGCUUUUCUUUGGAAUGAGUUCAUUAACCACAAUCAAGGAAUAGAAACUAAUCAGAUGAAGAUAAGAGAAUCUUUUAAAAACUAAGUCACCGAAAAUGUUAUCGAAAACUUUGAAACAUGAUUGUCGUGACUUGGUUGUUAAAAUUUCCUUACCUUGCUUACCUUUGGGCUCAUGUUGUGUGAUUUCAUCUUCAACCUUACCCUCUUCGGUCAUGCGAAAGAGUCGCUCGUCAAGAAGGUAUUGAAGUUGAAAAUUAGUUUUUGAUCUUUCGAAAACCUAAAAAGAAACACAACGAGACAAUUUCAUAUUUGGGUUAGUAACAGAUUCCUUACUUUUUCUUGUUUGCUUGCCUCCUUUUCUCUCGUUUCUUUUUCUUUUUCAAUUUUCUCUACACAUUUAUGUUCAAUCUCAAUUUCGUCUUUCUUUUUCUCACUCUCACUUUCUUUUUCAAUUUCUUUUUCUUUUUUUUUAACAAUCUUUUUCGAUUCUUUUCUCUCUUUCAAUUUUUUUUUCCUCUUUUUCAAUCUCUUUUUCUUUUUCAUUACAACAUAAGGACGAUACAAAAGAAUCAAAAAGAUAAGUGUUUUGCUUAAAGAAAGAGAAAGUAUUCUCAUAGGUAUCUCGAUCAAGUCUUCGUGAAUGAUUCUCCAGAAAUGACUUCUUUGAGGCAUACGAAGAAUAACUCGUACUUUUUCAUUCAUCAUCUCAGAAGGUUUCAGACUCGAAGCUUUCUCCUCUAUGUCUUGAAUUCCUUGACAAGUAGGAAUCCCGAUAAGAAUCUCUUCUCGAAUGGUCAUCGAAAAUGUGUCUUCGUGAUGAUCGUGACUCUGUUUUCUGACUUGGUGGGAUUUGCUUCCGUUGGGAUGUUGCUCGAGGUUCUAUCUUGUCUUGAAUGGGCUUAAUUUUUUGGUCGAGCAUGUUCUCCAUUUCUUUCAACAAAUUUUGAAAUUCAUUGGCUGAAAAUUCUUCUUGAGACAUGAUUAUUUACUGAAAAGAAGAAAUGUUAAAAGAACAAAAGCAGAAAAUUAAAUACCUCACCAAAAAAAAACCUCACAAGGACACUCGAAAAGAAAAUAAGGAUGUUCACUCACUCUCGUGCUUAUGCUCGUUUUAAGGAUUUUUCUUAGCACUCUUUAGCGCUCACACUCUCUUUUCCUUUUUCCACUCGACCUCGUCUCACAAUUUCGUAUUUCGUCUCGAAAGACCUAUUUUCUUGCUUCGGGGUCGGUUUCAAAUUGGUUUCAAAGGAUGAGAUGUUUUAGGUGUAGGUAGGUUGAACCAAAAGAAAAUUUGGGGUUUUAGUGUGGCGUUGGUGUUGGGAAAAUAAUGAUAGGAGGUGGAACUUGAUGAUUGGAGUCGAAAUAAAUGAAAAACAGUCACAAACUUUAAACAUCUUUUUUUUCCUUGUAUAUUUUUUCUUUUUUUUAUAAUUUUGUAAUUUUUUUCAUUUUAUUUAUACUUCAAUACAAUAAUAUGCUGAAUACAAGAGAAAAUAAAUUACAACUUGAAUUUUUUUCUAUGAACCUACUCCGACUUGAUUUGAUCUUCGGCACUUCUCGUUUUCUAGCUCUGAUACCAAAUGAUGCUAUCCAACCUGACCUUAUUAGUCAAGUCGAUCUAAUUCUCAGAUCGUCGUCAAGAAAGUAUCGUUCAGUGGUGAGAGAAAGGUGUAUUUUGGCUAACUAUGAAGAAUAGGAUGAAAUAGGUUCAAAAAGGCUAAAUGAUAGAUGGAAUAAGUCAGCUAACAAAGAAUUAAAAUUUAGGUGAUAGAUGGAUGGGUUUGGUUUAAAAAUAUGAAAAGAAAGUUAAGUCAGAAGGUGGAAAACGGAAGUUGAACUUAAGCGUCAAGAACAAUUCAAUACUAUAGCGAGUAUCACCCCGAAACUUAUAUGGCUUAAGGUGAAAUAUGGGGAUAGGUUGAUGGACCUCAACCCGUUACUUAGCAAAGCAGGAAUCGAAGGUAUAUGUAGAUGGACGAACGCCACACUAGGGUUGGUGAUAAGUUUAGAAACAAGAUCGGGAUGACGCCACUAGCACGCUAGAUAAGUCACUCGAGACUCGUACGAAAUUGGAGAGGAAUUUAACCUCAAAGAAACAAAGUUUCAUCCAAUUAAAAUGGCAAAAAAGUCUCAAAUACAACUAAGGAAGCUUCAUAAUUAUACCUCAAAUACAAUGAUAGCCGAAUGGAAAUUUACGCACAUGAAUAGACAAUUCGGUUUAGCUUUAAUGAGCUGAAAGUUAAAGGAAAAUUCCUUCCAGCUUUUAGAGACCUUGGAAUCAACUGAGAUUAAUGGAGGUGCCUUAGGUGCUGAUUGGAACUUGGUAGGUUCGGCUAAUACUUUAAUGAGCUAUUAAAAGAUUGUUUUGAUUAGGUGAAUAGUCUUGUAAGCUUUAAUGGUAGCUUGUGGCGUUGGAAAGUCCCCAAUGUGAACAUCCAAUAUUGAACAGCCCUUUAGGUGUGAAAGCUCAAAGCCGAAUGGUCUC